rnacentral:rRNA from 1 species
GAGUUUGAUCAUGGCUCAGAUUGAACGCUGGCGGCAGGCCUAACACAUGCAAGUCGAGCGGUAGCACAGAGAGCUUGCUCUCGGGUGACGAGCGGCGGACGGGUGAGUAAUGUCUGGGAAACUGCCUGAUGGAGGGGGAUAACUACUGGAAACGGUAGCUAAUACCGCAUAACGUCGCAAGACCAAAGUGGGGGACCUUCGGGCCUCAUGCCAUCAGAUGUGCCCAGAUGGGAUUAGCUAGUAGGUGGGGUAAUGGCUCACCUAGGCGACGAUCCCUAGCUGGUCUGAGAGGAUGACCAGCCACACUGGAACUGAGACACGGUCCAGACUCCUACGGGAGGCAGCAGUGGGGAAUAUUGCACAAUGGGCGCAAGCCUGAUGCAGCCAUGCCGCGUGUAUGAAGAAGGCCUUCGGGUUGUAAAGUACUUUCAGCGAGGAGGAAGGCGUUAAGGUUAAUAACCUUGGCGAUUGACGUUACUCGCAGAAGAAGCACCGGCUAACUCCGUGCCAGCAGCCGCGGUAAUACGGAGGGUGCAAGCGUUAAUCGGAAUUACUGGGCGUAAAGCGCACGCAGGCGGUCUGUCAAGUCGGAUGUGAAAUCCCCGGGCUCAACCUGGGAACUGCAUUCGAAACUGGCAGGCUAGAGUCUUGUAGAGGGGGGUAGAAUUCCAGGUGUAGCGGUGAAAUGCGUAGAGAUCUGGAGGAAUACCGGUGGCGAAGGCGGCCCCCUGGACAAAGACUGACGCUCAGGUGCGAAAGCGUGGGGAGCAAACAGGAUUAGAUACCCUGGUAGUCCACGCCGUAAACGAUGUCGACUUGGAGGUUGUGCCCUUGAGGCGUGGCUUCCGGAGCUAACGCGUUAAGUCGACCGCCUGGGGAGUACGGCCGCAAGGUUAAAACUCAAAUGAAUUGACGGGGGCCCGCACAAGCGGUGGAGCAUGUGGUUUAAUUCGAUGCAACGCGAAGAACCUUACCUACUCUUGACAUCCAGAGAACUUAGCAGAGAUGCUUUGGUGCCUUCGGGAACUCUGAGACAGGUGCUGCAUGGCUGUCGUCAGCUCGUGUUGUGAAAUGUUGGGUUAAGUCCCGCAACGAGCGCAACCCUUAUCCUUUGUUGCCAGCGGUCCGGCCGGGAACUCAAAGGAGACUGCCAGUGAUAAACUGGAGGAAGGUGGGGAUGACGUCAAGUCAUCAUGGCCCUUACGAGUAGGGCUACACACGUGCUACAAUGGCAUAUACAAAGAGAAGCGACCUCGCGAGAGCAAGCGGACCUCAUAAAGUAUGUCGUAGUCCGGAUUGGAGUCUGCAACUCGACUCCAUGAAGUCGGAAUCGCUAGUAAUCGUAGAUCAGAAUGCUACGGUGAAUACGUUCCCGGGCCUUGUACACACCGCCCGUCACACCAUGGGAGUGGGUUGCAAAAGAAGUAGGUAGCUUAACCUUCGGGAGGGCGCUUACCACUUUGUGAUUCAUGACUGGGGUGAAGUCGUAACAAGGUAACCGUAGGGGAACCUGCGGUUGGAUCACC